rnacentral:rRNA from 1 species
UACGAAGGGUGCAAGCGUUAAUCGGAAUUACUGGGCGUAAAGGGUGCGUAGGCGGUUCGUUAAGUCUGUCGUGAAAUCCCCGGGCUCAACCUGGGAAUGGCGGUGGAUACUGGAUAGCUAGAGUGUGUCAGAGGAUGGUGGAAUUCCCGGUGUAGCGGUGAAAUGCGUAGAGAUCGGGAGGAACAUCAGUGGCGAAGGCGGCCAUCUGGGACAACACUGACGCUGAAGCACGAAAGCGUGGGGAGCAAACAGG